UACAGAGGGUGCUAGCGUUGUUCGGAAUCAUUGGGCGUAAAGGGCGUGUAGGCGGUUUGUUAAGUCAUGUGUGAAAUCCCUCGGCUCAACCGAGGAAAGACGCAUGAAACUGGCAAGCUAGAGUACCGAAGAGGGGGGUGGAAUUCCCGGUGUAGCGGUGAAAUGCGUAGAUAUCUGGAGGAACACCGGUGGCGAAGGCGGCAUCCUGGACCAACACUGACGCUGAGGAGCGAAAGCCAGGGGAGCAAACGGG
rnacentral:rRNA from 1 species